rnacentral:rRNA from 1 species
GAUGAACGCUGGCGGCGUGCCUAAUACAUGCAAGUCGAGCGAACAGACGAGGAGCUUGCUCCUCUGACGUUAGCGGCGGACGGGUGAGUAACACGUGGAUAACCUACCUAUAAGACUGGGAUAACUUCGGGAAACCGGAUCUAAUACCGGAUAAUAUAUUGAACCGCAUGGUUCAAUAGUGAAAGACGGUUUUGCUGUCACUUAUAGAUGGAUCCGCGCCGCAUUAGCUAGUUGGUAAGGUAACGGCUUACCAAGGCAACGAUGCGUAGCCGACCUGAGGGGGUGAUCGGCCACACGGGAACUGAGACACGGUCCAGACUCCUACGGGAGGCAGCAGUAGGGAAUCUGCCGCAAUGGGCGAAAGCCUGACGGAGCAACGCCGCGUGAGUGAUGAAGGUCUUCGGAUCGUAAAACUCUGUUAUUAGGGAAAAACAAAUGUGUAAGUAACUAUGCACGUCUUGACGGUACCGAAUCAGAAAGCAACGGCUAACUACGUG